CCCUUAGAUGUUCUGGGCUGCACGCGCGCUACACUGAUGCGAUCAACAAGUUUUUCCUAUGUCGAUAGACACGGGUAAUCUUUUGAACUCGCAUCGUGAUGGGGAUAGAUUAUUGUAAUUAUUAAUCUUCAACGAGGAAUUCCUAGUAGGUGCAAAUCAUCAGUUUGCAUCGAUUACGUCCCUGCCCUUUGUACACACCGCCCGUCGCUGCUACCGAUUGGUUGAUCUGGUGAAUUAUUCGGACUGCCGGCUGAAGGGGUUUCCUCAUCUGCCAGCGGAAAGUCUUGUUAACCCUAUCAACUAGAGGGAGCAGAAGUCGUAACA
rnacentral:rRNA from 1 species